AUGCUUGUCUCAAAGAUUAAGCCAUGCAUGUCUAAGUCCAAGCUGUGUUCACACGGCGAGACCGCGGACGGCUCAUUAAAUCAGUCGUGGUCCAAAUGGGCCAGUGCAAAUCCUACUUGGAUAACUGUGGUAAUUCCAGAGCUAAUACAUGCAACUGAUAUCCCGAAGGCGGUGUUGGGGCUUGCUUGCCUUGCGCUGCGCUGCUCUGACGGAUGCUUUUAUUAGACCAAGCCGCUGAGGACUUGAGGGUUCGCGCUCUCUUGUUUGACUCGUGUGAUGGUGACUCUGGAUAACCAAAUUCUGACAAGCGCACGUACUUCUCUUCUGAGCGAGACGGCGCUGCCACUUUCGAGUGUCUGCCUUAUCAGCUAUCAACCGUUCGUUAUGCGCGACCGAUGGCUUUGACGGGUAACGGGGAAUCAGGGUUCGAUUCCGGAGAGGCAGCCUGAGAGACGGCUACCACGUCCAAGGACGGCAGCAGGCACGCAAAUUACCCAAUCCCAGCAAAUGGGGGAGGUAGUGACGAAAUCUAACGAUGCGGGCGCCCUUUCUGGGGCCCCGCAAUCGGAAUGGGCACUUUCUAAACAACCUGUUGAGAACCUACU
rnacentral:rRNA from 1 species